UUAUCCUUCACCAACUUCCUUAUACAGCACCACACACUAAAGGAGUAGCUCUCAAAUUGCAUUUUUCAAAUUCCUGUCAUUGACUGUAAAGUUAAUCACUUUUGGAACAGUUUUAAGCCUCUAUUUUGACAUUCUUUGUGUUGAUUUACAGUCUCACUUCAAGUACAGGUGCACAACCUUUUAUCCGAAAGCCUUGGGACCAGACACUUGUCGGAUUUCGGACAUUUUCGGAUUUCCGAAUGGAAGAUUUUUAGCGUAGAUAAGGUGAUGACAUCCCAUCUGCCUGCUGGCAGUGCCCAGCUAAAUGGGCAUCUCCUUGGCUCUUGCUGAUUCAGGAAAUGAGUGUUUCAAUUUGAGUAUUUCAGAGAAGCCUAAUAAAUCAUUGCAAAUCAAAGAGUGAUUUCUGUUCUUACAAUCUUGCCUUGGUGUGCAGAAUGCUACAGCAGUCAAAUAAGUGGAAAAGGACAAAAAGUACAUGAGUAACUCAGCAGGUCAUGCAGCAUCUCUUGAGAAUGUCACCCAUGAUCUCCAGAGAUGCUGCUUGACUUGCUGAGUUACUUCAGCACGUUGUGUCCCUUUGUAUAGUAAUCAGCAUCUGCAAUUCCUUGUUUCUAUACUCAAGACUAUUCAAUCCAUUGUGCCUGUGCCAGCCACCAUUUACUGCUCGUCUCUGAGCGUGAGGAGAAAUAUUUGAUGAAUGGAGUGUCACCCUUUGGAACAAGGAAUGCCCUUUAAUUUCCUUUACUUACUUUGUAACAUUUUAAUGGUCUUGCAUUCUGUAAUUCAUUCCUAAAAUCCAGAGCUAUUUUGCCAUGAAAAAUUAUAUAUUUAUCAAGAUUUUGUUAGAACCAAAGAUUAACUAUGGCCUGACACAAUUAUUUUUUUUAAUUGGCUUGUUUGUAAAGUCUACGUUGAGUGAUUUGAACGUAGAGAAUAAUUAAUGUUGAGACUCUCCUGAUAUCUUGCAGUGGAUAUUGGCAAGUGUUUGUGUCAUUUUGCUGCGCAAUAACAUUUGGAUUGUAUUUUUGAUGGACUUGUAUAAGUGCAGUUUUGGACUGAAAUUACAGAAGAACAGAAUGAAUUUGGUGGAAUUGGUCAAGUUUCUUUCCACCAGCUCUUUGUUUUGUUUGAAAAUUUUUAAUUUUUUAAAACAUAUUGUCUUUUGUAUUUACCCCGAAAACUUCACCGGGAACAGCUUUCUCGAUUUUAUUUGCCUGGUCACAAACUGGGAUGUGUUUGCAUAGCAUCAACAUGUUUGUCGAUAGACUGCUGGAGUAACUCAGUGGGUCAGGUAGCAUCUGUGGAAAGGCAGUAUCUCUCUCUAGAGAUGCUGCCUGAUCCGCUACUCCAGCAUUUUGUGUCUAUCUUUGGUAUAAACCAGCAUCUGCAGUUCUUUCCUACACACUCAGCAUGUUUGUAAUUGACUAAGCAACAUCAAAAACCUCCUAAACAUCUCUUGCCAUUCAAAAUCUAUUUAUAAGCAGAAACAAAGAUAGUUGGUCACUGAUUUCAUGUGCUGAUUGAGUGAAAGCUUCAGAGGGAUCCAUUAUUUCAAAAAGAUUACAGUUGCCAUUUACUAUAGCCUGGAAAUUUGUAGAAGUGACCAUGUGUGAAAUUAAUGCAGUAUUUUAGCAUUAAAAUUGCAAUAUGGUCACACAUUUAUCUUCACACAGCAAUUAUCACAACCUUGCACCAUUGCACAUCUGCAUUUAAUUUGUUGACAUACUUUGGCCUCUUCCUAUAAUCCUAACUGUAAUUGCACUGGUUUUGUUCCUCUUUACUGAAGCUGAAUGUGUGUGUUCAUCCCAUUGCUGAAUCCAGUCUGGGUUUUAUCUUUCUUGGGCAUAAAUCUGUGGGGCUACUUAUAUUUGUUGUAAAAUACCCAAACUCAAUAAAUACUUCCAGGUAGAA